ACAUUUCAACACCUUAAGAAAUUGGCGCAUUAAUGAAACACAUGCUGAUUAUAGUACCUAAUAUCUACUAAAGUUUUAUAUAGAAUUAAAUCCACCUGGAAAGGAAUAUAUGUGAAGUGCAGAUUUGGAUUGUCAUUUCAUUUGGGUUUGGCCCUUGAUCCCAAUUUGUUUAAUGCGGCAAUUGUACACUCUCAUUCCUUAUGGCUUCUAUGUGCCUAUAUAAGUAAUAACAGUGGCAGUUCUCUGCAUAAAUUACCGAUGAGAAGUGAUUGUUU
rnacentral:misc_RNA from 1 species